AGGAUUAACGCUGGCGGCGUGCAUGAAACAUGCAAGUCGAGCGCGGUGUGAUGCGGGGUAACCCAAUUCACAUCUAGCGGCGAACGGGUGAGUAACACGUGAGCAACCUACCUUUGAGUUGGGGAUAGCCCUGGGAAACCAGGAUUAAUACCCGAUGUGGUCACAACAGGACAUCCUGAUGUGAGUAAAGGCGCAAGCCGCUCAAUGACGGGCUCGCGGCCUAUUAGCUUGUUGGUGGGGUAACGGCCUACCAAGGCGAUGAUGGGUAGCUGGUCUGAGAGGACGAUCAGCCACACUGGGACUGAGACACGGCCCAGACUCCUACGGGAGGCAGCAGUUAGGAAUUUUCCGCAAUGGGCGAAAGCCUGACGGAGCAACGCCGCGUGAGUGAUGAAGACCUUAGGGUUGUAAAGCUCUGUCGGAGGGGAAGAACACAAUGACGGUACCUCCAAGAAAGCCCGGACUAACUACGCGUCAGCAGCCGCGGUAA
rnacentral:rRNA from 1 species